UCUCUCUCUCUCUCUCUCACACAAUUUCCUCGUCGCUUCCUCGCUCUCAUUUCACCUAUCUUCCAUCUUUCUAGGGUUUUUCACCCCUUCUUUUUAUCAUCUUCAGGCCGGCAAGUUAAAUAAAAUUACAUAAUCGCCCCUCUGCACCGUUUUACUUGGUCAUCAGUACUGCAUAACACAUAUUGUAAAAAGCUUUUGAUCGAAGAUUUUAAUGGCUUCUGAUUCGUGGAGCUCUCGCCUAUCGACUUCUUCAAGACGCUACUUUUCUCGAUCUGAUCUGUACGAGGAAACUGAUGUAGACGAGGAUUUGAAAGCUGAGUUUUUGUGUCCAUUUUGCGCUGAGGAUUUCGACGUUGUGGGACUCUUUUGUCACAUCGACGAGGAGCAUCCUGUUGAAGCCAAGAAUGGGGUAUUAACUCUCUCUCUCUUUUUCUCUCUCUCCUUCAUUUUAAGUUGUAAAAUCUAUUCUGGUAUCUGAUCUUGGUUUGAUUUUGUUUUAAUUAUAGUUCUAUUAUCAAGUAAUUAGAGAAUGAUCGUAGAGAGUAUUUGCUUUUAGUUGGUUUUGGUUCUUAUGGGUCUUGGAUUGUGAUUUUUUCACUCUCACUGUGGUACUACUGGCUUCUUGCCACUGCUAGUUAGCAAGAGAGGAUUUCUUUGAUCAACAGACAACAGGGUUUCUGCCUGAUGGGCAUAAAGUGUGUAGCGGGUGAGCCUUAAAUUUGUGGCUCUCUCUCUUCUGGGGAGUUUAACUUCCUUCUGGAGUACAAUGCAGUCAUUUUGGUCUUUAACUCUUGUCUGGCCAUGCGUUUUCAGUGCUUCUUAAACUUAAUCAUGAUGGUGUUACUACUGGUGAUAAUAUUUAACAACCACUUUGCUAAGCUGUGCUUGUUCAAAUUAUUUGUUUCAGGUGUGCCCAGUCUGUGCUAAACGAGUCGGAGUGGAUAUUUUUGGCCACAUUAAUAUGCAACAUGGCAACUUCUUUAA
rnacentral:misc_RNA from 1 species